UACGUAGGGUGCAAGCGUUGUCCGGAAUUAUUGGGCGUAAAGAGCUCGUAGGCGGUUUGUCGCGUCCGCUGUGAAAAUCCAGGGCUUAACCCUAGACCUGCAGUGGGUACGGGCAGACUAGAGUGCGGUAGGGGAGAUCGGAAUUCCUGGUGUAGCGGUGAAAUGCGCAGAUAUCAGGAGGAACACCGGUGGCGAAGGCGGAUCUCUGGGCCGUAACUGACACUGAUGGACGAAAGCUAGGGGAGCGAAAGGG
rnacentral:rRNA from 1 species